rnacentral:rRNA from 1 species
GAUGAACGCUGGCGGCGUGCCUAACACAUGCAAGUCGAGCGAUUCUCUUCGGAGAAGAGCGGCGGACGGGUGAGUAACGCGUGGGUAACCUGCCCUGUACACACGGAUAACAUACCGAAAGGUAUGCUAAUACGGGAUAAUAUGUUUUUAUCGCAUGGUAAAAAUAUCAAAGCUCCGGCGGUACAGGAUGGACCCGCGUCUGAUUAGCUAGUUGGUAAGGUAACGGCUUACCAAGGCGACGAUCAGUAGCCGACCUGAGAGGGUGAUCGGCCACAUUGGAACUGAGACACGGUCCAAACUCCUACGGGAGGCAGCAGUGGGGAAUAUUGCACAAUGGGCGAAAGCCUGAUGCAGCAACGCCGCGUGAGCGAUGAAGGCCUUCGGGUCGUAAAGCUCUGUCCUCAAGGAAGAUAAUGACGGUACUUGAGGAGGAAGCCCCGGCUAACUACGUGCCAGCAGCCGCGGUAAUACGUAGGGGGCUAGCGUUAUCCGGAAUUACUGGGCGUAAAGGGUGCGUAGGUGGUUUCUUAAGUCAGAGGUGAAAGGCUACGGCUCAACCGUAGUAAGCCUUUGAAACUGAGAAACUUGAGUGCAGGAGAGGAGAGUAGAAUUCCUAGUGUAGCGGUGAAAUGCGUAGAUAUUAGGAGGAAUACCAGUUGCGAAGGCGGCUCUCUGGACUGUAACUGACACUGAGGCACGAAAGCGUGGGGAGCAAACAGGAUUAGAUACCCUGGUAGUCCACGCCGUAAACGAUGAGUACUAGCUGUCGGAGGUUACCCCCUUCGGUGGCGCAGCUAACGCAUUAAGUACUCCGCCUGGGAAGUACGCUCGCAAGAGUGAAACUCAAAGGAAUUGACGGGACCCGCACAAGUAGCGGAGCAUGUGGUUUAAUUCGAAGCAACGCGAAGAACCUUACCUAAGCUUGACAUCCUUUUGACCGAUGCCUAAUCGCAUU